UACGAAGGGUGCAAGCGUUAAUCGGAAUUACUGGGCGUAAAGCGUGCGUAGGCGGUUUGUUAAGUCUGCUGUGAAAUCCCCGGGCUCAACCUGGGAAUGGCAGUGGAUACUGGCAAGCUAGAGUGUGUCAGAGGAUGGUGGAAUUCCCGGUGUAGCGGUAGAAAUGCGUAGAGAUCGGGAGGAACAUCAGUGGCGAAGGCGGCCAUCUGGGAAGAUACUGACGCUGAGGAGCGAAAGCGUGGGGAGCGAACGAGG
rnacentral:rRNA from 1 species